rnacentral:rRNA from 1 species
GCGAACGCUGGCGGCAGGCUUAACACAUGCCAGUCGAGCGGGCCCUUCGGGGUCAGCGGCAGACGGGUGAGUAACACGUGGGAACGUACCCUUUGGUUCGGAAUAACGCUGGGAAACUAGCGCUAAUACCGGAUACGCCCUUUUGGGGAAAGGCUUGCUGCCGAAGGAUCGGCCCGCGUCUGAUUAGCUAGUUGGUGGGGUAAUGGCCUACCAAGGCGACGAUCAGUAGCUGGUCUGAGAGGAUGAUCAGCCACACUGGGACUGAGACACGGCCCAGACUCCUACGGGAGGCAGCAGUGGGGAAUAUUGGACAAUGGGCGCAAGCCUGAUCCAGCCAUGCCGCGUGAGUGAUGAAGGCCUUAGGGUUGUAAAGCUCUUUUGUCCGGGACGAUAAUGACGGUACCGGAAGAAUAAGCCCCGGCUAACUUCGUG